rnacentral:tRNA from 1 species
AGGGCAGUAGCUCAAUUGGUAGAGUAGCGGUCUCCAAAACCGUCGGUUGUGGGUUCGAGUCCCUCCUGCCCUG